CUUUUCUUUGGCAUACCCUGGACCCAGAGCAAGGAGGGAGUAGGAAACACCAUCCCAGAGCUGUGUCUGCACUAGGGGGCUGUGCUUGCAUGGCGAUAAGAGGAUUAGAAGUUUAGAGAAAGCUUUGUCCUCGUGUGCAUCACUCCUGACUGGCACGAGAGCUCCAGGACCAUCAGCUCAUCAGGAAAUCUCCUGUCUGUCCAGAGCACGCAGUGAAUUCCCACCUUUGCACUCAAGGCACAGCAUUAAGUGCUUCCAAAAUUCCCGUGACGGCUCCAUCCUGCAACGUUCUGAACCUCCUCACUGUGCUUCAGCAAUGCGAUCAGGUCCAGAUACGAGCUCAGGACUGGACCUACUGCAACAAGCAGUGUGAACAAUGCUGGGCUCUUACUGCCAUGCUCAGUGAGUUUCUGGCUGCAUCUAGA
ensembl:lncRNA